UUUUAAUUAAUAUUUUGGAAAAAUACAAAUUAAAAACAAAAUUAUGUACAAGCCUAAAUACUGUAGACUACCAAAAGAAGGAAUGAAUGGGUCCCAGAGCAAAUCAAUUCUGAAUUCUCAGUAGAAGCAGAUAUGAGUGUUUUGGCCACAUUAUGAGAUGACAUAUGGGAAAAGAUGGCAAUGCUAGGAGGAGUAGAAAGCAGGAGAAACAAAGUAAGACCACAUUACUGAUGGAGUGAUUCAAUCAAGAAAGUCAUAGCCCUGCAUUUGCAAGACCUGAGCAAGGGUAUGGUGGACUCUUAUUUAUAGAGUUGCUAUUCAAACAAAUAAGUGAAAAAAUAAACCAGAUAUUUUAAUACUUGUUCAUUCAAUACUGUAUUUAUAUUUUCUUUGGCUUUUAUGCUCUUUCAGUUUCUGCAGUGAUAGUUUUUAGACUGACAUUCAAAACACUAAUUUGCUGAUCUAUUGGUUAUUUUAUGGAACAAUACUGUACAUUGCAAAUCACUCUGUAAAUAUGUAAUUGAAAGAACAUGGCAUAAAAAUAGUAAAAUCACAAAAGUUGUAAAAUUACAAAUUAGGAUGAGCUACUUUGGAAUUAAGAGCCCUGCUAUAUUGACCAUAUAGCACUGUAUAGUACAAGCCAACACAAGACCACAGUGACAAAUCUGGAAUGGGCUGCUAAAAAAUGGCCAAAGGGCAUAGCUGGGCAGGAGAAGGCCAACUGACUCUCUUGGAGUGGUAACUGUCCCUUUCCCUUUUUUCUUCUUCCCAUAUGCCUCUAGUUCACUGAUACACACCUCUCCUGGAAAUUGGGGCGGGGGGCGGAGAGACCUGCAAAGCAGUUUGAGGUGAAGCCUUGUGGGUUGUAUCAUGAUAUUUUUAGCCACCUUCAGUCCCUAUGGGAAGAAAGGCAGGACAGAAAUAAAGACAAUGGCACUAAGGAUAAUGGUUUGAUUGUUGAACAACAGCUGUGGAAACCAGAAUUUGAAUUCCCACAUAGCAAUGGAACCCUAAUGAAUGGACUUGGCCAGGCCACACUUUCAGCCUCAGAGGAAGGCAAGGGCAAACCCACUAUGAACAAAGCUUGCUAAGACAACCUUAUGCCAUAAGUCAGAAACACCUUGAAAGCAAACAACAACAACAACAACAAACAACAACAACAACAACAACAUCCCUGAAAGGAGCUAUUGUCAUAUACAGAGGGCCAGAAGUCCUAAAACAUCAUCAGUAUAUUAUAUGAAAUGGAACAAUAUUGAUAAAGGACUGGUAAAGAACAAAGUUUUUAUUACUUUGUGUAUCUUAUUUUCUUCUGACAUUUCCCAGGCUUUUUUAUUCUAUCUCUUUUAAAGGAAUUAAAUCUGUGCACAAA